GGAUGAUACAAGUGCAGCCACCAUUGAGA
rnacentral:piRNA from 1 species